GUAGGUGUGGUCCUGCUUUUUUUCAGGAGAAGGAGAGGUAGAGUAUCAGUCAGAAUAGUAUGCUGUGAAGCUGUACAUCUCCAUAUGCAGGAUUGUGAAGCCCAUGGAUAGUUCAUGAGUUAACUCACCAUUAAAAAAUGAGAACAAGGAGGGAAUUGCCAGAAAUGAAAAGGCAGCACACAACAACAGAAGGCAACUAUUUCAGCCAGGAAGGGAAGGUCCUUCACAUAGCUGCUUUGAAUUUGGGGAUGAGCAGAACAUCACUUUGAUGCCAACUGUGAGCAUUUUGCUCAAUGAAACCACGACCAGGAAGAAAGAGCGUUGUGUUUACAUGAGCACAGAGGCGUAGGGACAACUUACAAACCCUGCCUCAUUCAACCUCACUGACAGAGGAGCAAACACUGGAGCUUUGAGUGCCUUUAAUCAGGGCGCUCAGAAAUGCACAUCCUUGUGGCUUCAGGUGCUUUUCACCUUUCUUGUAGGUCCUGGUUGGAACCCACCUCAAGCUGGCAGGGUGGAGGGAAGUGAGUGACUUCUGCCUGCUGUGCUCAGCAGUGGCAGGACCUGGGACCUCAGCUGAGCCUCUGUUUCUUUAGACACCGACAGGAGUUCUGUCAGAGCAGCAAUUGGCCAUCCCAGUGGGCAGGCUCAGGCUGAGUGUGUGUGUGAACACAGAUAUGGGCUGGAGCCUGGUCAGGGCAUGCUGCCCCAUGCUCAGCUGGACACUGCAGUGUCACCAUGUGCUUGGUACCUGCUCUCAUCCUCACAAAUUCCCUUUGAAAGGUGAAUUAAAGGAUUUCGUUUUCCCUGCCAAUCAAGUACAGUGGUGGCUCUCAUGAGUCUCACUCAAAGUCAUUCAGCUUUUUGCUAGCCAUAGGAAUAAAAGAAAAUUUUUCUGCUCUUGA